rnacentral:rRNA from 1 species
UACGUAGGAGGCAAGCGUUGUCCGGAAUUACUGGGCGUAAAGCGCGUGUAGGCGGUCUGAAUAGUCUGCUGUGAAAGCGCCUGGCUUAACCGGGCGAGGUCGGCGGAAACUCUCAGACUGGAGGCCGGUAGAGGGGGGUGGAAUUCCCGGUGUAGUGGUGAAAUGCGUAGAGAUCGGGAGGAACACCUGUGGCGAAGGCGGCUCUCUGGAACGCAACUGACGCUGAGACGCGAAAGCGUGGGGAGCGAACAGG